rnacentral:lncRNA from 1 species
UUAAGGGGUGGGGUUUAGGAUUUAGGGUUUAGGGUUUAGAGUUUAGGGUUUAGGGUUUAGAGUUUAGGUUUUAGGGUUUAGAGUUGGGAAGUGGGGUUUUGGGAUAAGAUUUCAAAUUUUGAAAAAUAAAAAAAAAUUUAAAUUUUUCAAAAGAUAAAAUGCUAUUUUGGUCAUUUUAGUUUUUGAAGGCUAUUUUUGUGACAUAAACUUAA